GAGUAUUUCUUUAUUGUUUACAUACUCUUCGAUCUGUUCCAUCAGAAUUUUGCAGUCUCCUUCACAUAACCCUUGUACAUGGUUUGUUAGGUUUACAUUUAACUGCUUUAAAUAGUAAUAUGCUCUUAAUUUGAAACACAAUUCAAUUAUUCUUUGUUGAUAUAGGAAAAGUAUUUUUUAUUUUAAACUUGUACCUGGAAAUUUUCUUAUACUUAUGUUAGUUCAAGGCAGUUUUUGUUGUUCACCCUUUAAGAUUUUCUACAUUGUAAGUCAUAUUGUUUUGUGAAUAAAAGUAGUUUUACUUUUAGUUACUACAUUCCUGUAUAGAGGCAGUUAACAGUUUUAAAAGGAUGAACACUGCAUUCAGAAAGGCAAAUAACCCUUUCCUAGAUAGAGACAAAAGGAGAAAAUAUCUAAUGAUUUUAAACUAUCCUACAAAAACUGAUCUAACAUUGACUGAUUUCCCAAAUGCAGUUUCUCUUCCAUUAGUAUAGUGAAUUAGUAUAAAUACUCAAAAUCCUUGACAGUUCCUUGUCAAUUUCCUUGUCAUCUGUUACAUUCUCUUCUUUGUUGAGAAUUUUGUAACUCAAUUAAAUCCAACUAAUUAAAUACUCGGGUUGGAUUUAUUCAAGGAGUUUAGAAUUAGUGAAUCAUCCUGUAUAUAUUCUCCAAACUACUAUUUUACCAAAAGUUCAAGUUAAAUAUACAGAGGGGAGAGAUGGCUCAGAGGUUUAAAAAGACCCAAAUUUAGUUUCUACCACUUAUAUCAGGUGGCAUAAAACCACCCGUAUUUUCUACUCCAGGAGCUCCAAUGCACUCUUCUGGCCCUCACAGGGACAUACACAUACAAAAAGUGAUAAUAGAAAAUCUAAAGCAAUUAAAUCCUACACCUUGUGUGGUGGUCCACCCCUUUAACACCAGCACUUAGGAGGCAGAGACAGGCAGCUCUCUAAGUUCAACACAAGCCUGUUCUACUUAGCAAAUUCCAGGACAGCCAGAGCUACAUAAAGAGACUCUAUCAAAAAAUAACUAAAUAAGUGAAUGAAUGUAAAUUUGAUUGGUUUAUUUUAUUUUAUUUUUUUUUUUUGGUGAGAGAGGAUGUGCCUAGCCCUGCAGAGACUUCAUGUGCCAGGAUAGGGGAUAUUCAGGGACGACUUCACCCUCUUGGAGGAGAAGAAAGGGGUGGGGAAGGGCUAUGUGAUGGGAGACCAGGAGGAGGCAGGCCAGUGAAUAUAAAGUGAAUAAAUUUUAAAAAAUUAAUGGGAAAAAUAUAAAUUAAAAAAUAUUUAAGCUUUUUAAAAAUUAAAAAUUUGUAACUAUGCAUGUAUAGAACUCCCCAACUUAGGUUUUUUUUUUUUUUCUUUUUCACUUAAGCCUCAGUUAAAUCCUUACUAUGAGGCAGAGCUUUAGACAGGGCUCAAGAUAAAGAGCAAGAAAAGACAUGGUUUCUGGGUGUUAGUGUGAGCAAAGGACAGUUUCAUUAAUAACACUGUUGUGUGCUCCGCUACUGUCAUCUUGUGAACAUUUCUUUUCCUCACACUCCUCUAUCCUAAGACUCACAUGGUUUGUUUAAGCAUUGCUUGAAAGGAAAAAAUAAAAAUUGCUCUAGUAACUAAUAACAACAUAUAAGAUAUGAUUAUCGAGAUAGUUAGCAGAGAUAGAGAACAGAAGAAGAAAGGCUUAUCUUGGUCUUUGUUGGGAGAACCAUCAUAAAAUGCCUUUCAGUCAAAGGUGAGGACAGAGUCAAAUCUAGAGAAUUUCCAAGCAUAAAAUAAUUUUCAGGUAGAAAUGUUUCAAUAAAAGAUGAAAGAGAACUAUUGCACCUGGGAGGAUCUUAUAAGAGAUGAAGAAAUUAAAUGUCCUUUAAAGUUACUUAAUUGGAAAGGUGAUAAAGUGUUGAGAAGAUGUUGAUGAAGUCUAUAGAGAUGCUAAUAUAAGGUCUUCUUUAGGAAAACUGGAGAGUAGGAGUUUCUCCUUGAAUUAGCACAUGCUUGGGAGAAAUGCAAUUUUGAGUGACUUAACUUACUUCUGAAGUCUGAGGAAAGAAAGUGGGGAUGAAAAGGAAGAGAGGGUGAGAGGAAAAAAGUAGAGAGGAAAGAGAAGAGAACAGGAGACAGGGAAAGGGAAGGGGAAUGAAGGG
rnacentral:lncRNA from 1 species